UACGUAGGGACCGAGCGUUGUCCGGAUUCAUUGGGCGUAAAGAGCUCGUAGGCGGCUGCUCAAGUCGAAUGUGAAACCUCGAGGCUUAACCUCGAGCCUGCAUUCGAUACUGGGCGGCUAGAGUCUGGUAGGGGGAUCUGGAAUUCCUGGUGUAGCGGUGGAAUGCGCAGAUAUCAGGAGGAACACCGGUGGCGAAGGCGGGAUCCUGGGCCAGUACUGACGC
rnacentral:rRNA from 1 species